rnacentral:rRNA from 1 species
AACGAACGCUGGCGGCAGGCCUAACACAUGCAAGUCGAGCGAGGACUUCGGUCCUAGCGGCGGACGGGUGAGUAACGCGUGGGAACGUGCCCUUUGCUACGGAAUAGCCCUGGGGAAACUGGGAGUAAUACCGUAUGUGCCCCUUCGGGGGGAAAGAUUUAUCGGCAAAAGGAUCGGCCCGCGUUGGAUUAGGUAGUUGGUGGGGUAAUGGCCUACCAAGCCGACGAUCCAUAGCUGGUUUGAGAGGAUGAUCAGCCACACUGGGACUGAGACACGGCCCAGACUCCUACGGGAGGCAG